rnacentral:rRNA from 1 species
AUUGAACGCUGGCGGCAGGCCUAACACAUGCAAGUCGAGCGGAGCGGCGGACGGGUGAGUACUGCCUAGGAAUCUGCCUGGUAGUGGUGGAUAACGUCCGGAAACGGGCGCUAAUACCGCAUACUCUCAGCUGAGCCUAGGUCGGAUGAGCUAGGUGGUGGGGUAAAGGCCUACCAAGGCGACGAUCAGUAAGUGGGCUGAGAGGAUGUUCAGUCACACUGGAACUGAGAAAAGGUCCAUACUCCGAGGGGAGGCAGCAGGGGGGACUAUUGGACAAUGGGCGAACGCCUGAUCCAGCCCGGCGGCGUGUGUGAAGAAGGUCUUCGGAUUGUAAAGCACUUGAUGUUGGGAUGCGUUACCAUUAGAAUAAGCACCGGCUAACUUCGUGCCAGCAGCCGCGGUAAUAC